rnacentral:rRNA from 1 species
AGUAACGGCGAGUGAACGGGGAUUAGCCCAGCACCGAAGCUUAUUCAUUUUUGAACAGAGCAAUGUGGUGUUAAAGUUACAACCUAGAGACGCUAGUCUAUUCGAAGUCCAACUCCGAUUACGGCCUUGGAUAUUUACCAUAGAGGGUGAAAGACCCGUUCGGGUAGACAUUACUGUUUUUAGCGUAUCUUUGAUGUUGUUUCUUUCGAGUCGGAUUGCUUGAGAAUGCAGUCCAAAGUGGGUGGUAAACUCCAUCCAAGGCUAAAUACUGGCACGAGUCCGAUAGUAGACAAGUACCGUGAGGGAAAGUUGAAAAGUACUCUGAAGAGAGAGUAAAUAGUACGUGAAGCUGCCUGCAUGGAAGCUGGUGGAGUCAAGCUUCUGAGAUUUGGAAUUGGUGCUGAGGUUAUGUAUUGUUUAUUUAGCCUGGAGUGCAUCAGCUUGUAAAUGGCUGGAUAGGAUCUUCCUAUCUCACGCGUUCUGGGCUGUGCGCUUGUUUUGCAUUCUAAUAUUUGGCUAAUUCUCUUGCACUGUUUCCUUGUCUUAACAUCACAGUCAAUGUGCAUAUAUUGUUUGAUAAUCUAACUGUGGACGUUGUGGAUUUCGGUCCAUUGGCCAUGGAAUGGCAGGUAUAAACACAUAGGCCCCGGUCUUGUUGUUUCUUAUAUUGGUUUUAUUACCUUGCCGAUUAUCACUAGUAUCAUAUAAUUAUUUAUGUGCAUUGUUCUUAUAUAAAAAGUAGCCCUGAUAGUUACUUUUUUUGAGAGCUGUGAUGCUGAAGUAGACCUUCCACCCGACCCGUCUUGAAACACGGACCAAGGAGUUUAACAUUUGCGCGAGUCAAUUGGUGCAUUGAAACCAUAUGGCAAAAUGAAAGUAAACGGUUGUAUAUCACAAUCGAAGGUAUGAACAAGGCUGUACUUGAACAAGUGAGUCUUUUGCAUUACCGGCCCGUCUCAUAAUGUGGUCAUUUUUGACAAUAAUUGAUUUUGCAUCAUUGAGGCGGAGCAAUAGCGCAAAUGUUGAGACCCGAAAGAUGGUGACCUAUGCUUGCGUAGAUCGAAGCCAGAGGAAACUCUGGUGGAGGAUCGUAGCGGUUUUGACGUGCAAAUCGAUCGUCGAACGUGAGCAUAGGGGCGAAAGACUAAUCGAACCGUCUAGUAGCUGGUUCCCUCCGAAGUUUCCCUCAGGAUAGCUUGCACACAUUAAUUACAGUUUUAUCCGGUAAAGCGAAUGAUUAGAGGUAUUGGGGACUAAAUGUCCUCAACCUAUUCUCAAACUAUAAAUGGGUACGAUGCAUGGCUCGCUCCAAUGGAGUUUGUGCAUUGAAUGUGUGUGCAAAGUGGGCCAUUUUUGGUAAGCAGAACUGGCGCUGUGGGAUGCUCUAAACGUGCAGAUAAGGUGCCAAACACAAACGCUCAUCAGAUACCACAAAAGGUGUUAAUGCAUAUAGACAGCAGGACGGUGGCCAUGAAAGUUGGAAUCCGCUA